AAAUUGAAGAGUUUGAUCAUGGCUCAGAUUGAACGCUGGCGGCAGGCCUAACACAUGCAAGUCGAACGGUAACAGGAAGAAGCUUGCUUCUUUGCUGACGAGUGGCGGACGGGUGAGUAAUGUCUGGGAAACUGCCUGAUGGAGGGGGAUAACUACUGGAAACGGUAGCUAAUACCGCAUAACGUCGCAAGACCAAAGAGGGGGACCUUCGGGCCUCUUGCCAUCGGAUGUGCCCAGAUGGGAUUAGCUAGUAGGUGGGGUAAAGGCUCACCUAGGCGACGAUCCCUAGCUGGUCUGAGAGGAUGACCAGCCACACUGGAACUGAGACACGGUCCAG
rnacentral:rRNA from 1 species